rnacentral:lncRNA from 1 species
UGAAAACCCGGCGGGUUUUUGAGAAAAACAAGCGGGACAACUCUUCUGCUGUGUUGGCUGCAGCGGGCAGGAAGACUGUCUGAACACAUGACACAGAAUUCCUCCGGAUUUUCCUGCUCCUCUGUUGUCGGGUUCGACGUCUCACUCAGAUUCCGUCAGCAUUGAGGUCAGGUAGAUGUACAACACUGGAGGCUUGGAUAAAAGUCCACAUGAA